CAGGGCUGAUGAGAAGAGCUUCCCUGCCAAUUGAUCCUGUGUCCUCUCUGUCUGGUGAACACAGGGCUUGUGGGUUUUGCUCCUAAAUGACAGCUACCCCGCUGGGAUUCCAUUACACUGAUGGAAGGCAACCAACAAACGCCUAUGGUUCACCUCCCAAGGGCUACAGUGUGUGUGUCUGUGUGUUUGUUUGUUUGUGUGUGUGUGUGUGUGUGUGUGUGUGUUGUGGAGGUAUAUCACCCAAGGCACUACAACAUGUAGGGUAUGAAGCUGAUAUGGUGUUGAAGUAUGUCCCAGUCACCUGUGGCAACUGACAUGUUAGUCCAUUAUGAGCAUAAUCUAAUGCACACACACACACACACACACACACACACAUCCACACAAACAUACACACAGACACACUCAAACGUGCACACAUGCACACACGCACACAUACGUACACACACACGGGUCCAUUGGAUCCCUAGCCCAACUCUUGUGCCUGACCAUUAUACUGUGCCUUCGUAAACAACUACCUUGUUGAUGAUAUUAAACCAGGGCUCUCGGAUAACCUCUCUCUCUCUCUCUCUCUCUCUCUAUCUCCCUCCCUCCCUCCCUCCCUCCCUCCCUCCCUCCCUUUCUCUCUCUCUCUCUCUCUCGCUCUCUUUCUCUCUGCUUCGUACUAUCGUUACAUAACACGCUCAUGAAGAGCAUUUGGAUGCAGCAGGCCCUACACAGAAUCACCACGAGUGAUAAACUCCAACAAGUCAAGCAUUAAAACCAACAGCCGCUUUUAUCUCUCAAGAACAGCAUCCCCAUCCAGCUGGAGCGGCAUCAGAGAGACGGUCCAGGGAGGAUUACAGGGGGCAUAAAUUAGAGGAAGGAUUGUGAUGAAGAGAAUGAAAUUCACUUGAUUUGUGUGGGAGACACUAAAUCGAUUUGUUCCCAGAGAGCACGUGCUUUCGCACCUCACCAAAAUAAAAUUGGUAACCUAAGCAAAUAAGAUGAAGCAAAUUUAAUUUCAAUGCAAUUCAUUUAAUGAACAAGGAUCCCUUUUUCCCAAAACCUUGCUCCUAAAAUGCAAAUUAAGUCUUAUGCAUGCUAUACUUUGGGGGGGAUGUGAUCAUAUCCCUUGGAUAAGUUCCGACUGCUUCAAUAAUGCAUCUCAAUAUUCCCUCCACAAAGUGGUCAGUCUGUGGAGCUUUUAAAUUCAGUGGUUCUUUGUCAAUUUUUAUCUAGGCUGUGCUGACAAAGAGCUCUGCUGUCAUUUUAUCUGGGCACCAUGGAGCUUUAAUGUCAAAGGUUCACGUCUUUAGCCGACCUGCUUAAAAUAGAUGUUCACACAAAGGUGUGUGUGUGUGUGUGUGUGUGUGUGUGUGUGUGUGUGUGUGUGUGUGUGUGUGUGUGUGUGUGUGUGUGAGAGAGAGAGAGAGAGAGAGAGACUGACCGGCAGACAGAGACAAGGUUUAGAGAGAGAGAGAGAGAGAGAGAGAGAGAGAGAGAGAGAAAGAAAGUAUGUCCUUGAGACUCAAUUUAAAGACAGGACAGGUCCACCUCUCAAAGUGAUGAGAAAGCAGCUCUGUGUUAUUGGACAUGCCUGAUUGACUUCCAUAAAGUGACGAUUUGCUGCCACUACAUUUUCUGCCCGACCUUCAAAUCUCACUAGAUAACCCUCAUUUAGAUGCUCUGUGUCUUUCUAUCCAUACUGGCCUAUCUACACCCUGGACACCUUGUCUUUGAUCCGCAAAUCUGAGGACAUUACAACAACAUCAAUUCAAAUGUGAAAAUGAAGCAUUCAUUUUAAGGUGAUGCUCAAAGUAGAUCCAUCAUUCUAUGUCUUCUCACUCAUUCAGGUUCGAGUUUACUUUCUCUACAUUCGAUGCAUUCAGGUGGUCAUUUAAGUACAUUUGGUCUAAUUGACAUCCAACCUGUUUAUUCAAUUGUUAUCAUUUGCAGUUGUACUUUGGUUUGCAUUUGUACAUUUGUGUUUUGCCUUACACUGAGUUUGACGGAUACUUGUAACAUUGAAGCUCACUGUUUAUUGUAUUAAUAAACUGUUCAUUCAUUAACCACCUCAUGUGCCAUGGCGUUACAUUGUGCCACUAGCUUUUAUACUGCUUGGUAACAUUGGAGGUCAUUCAAUUAUUGUAUUUUUCCACAACAUUUACCACUCUAGUGCAUUCUAUUGUCCCAAAAUGUUAAGACACGCUUGAACCUUCCAGCCUGACGUUUUCCGUCUUUGGUAACAUUUUGGCUGCUGCUUAUUUAUACUAUAUUGGUGCAAUUCCUAACAUUCCCACUGAAUAACAUUUUCCCUUAAUGCAACUGUGAUUUACAGUAAUUCCCUGUAUAAUAAUACUAUGGUACAUAAAACUGAUUUGAACAAAUGAUACACCGCGACAGGAAAUGUUUUUUACUUACUGUAACAGGAGUGUGAUAAAAAGUUACCUGAUGUGCUCCAAUGCCAGUCACAAAUACAUCAGAGAGAAUGGAUAUAGCCACAACACGAGAUGUACCAUGA
ensembl:lncRNA